UAAUAGACAAAAGCAAAGGAGGAAGACGACGAUUUCUGGAACUUUCUUUGUUUUCAAAAGCGAACCAAACUGAAUAAUAGUGGUUGGGCUGGAGUUGGAGUUGCAUAUAUAGGCCGACGUAUCUGGUGGUGGUGGGUUCACACGCUAAGCUACUCCGUUGAAAAUAUGGACACGCAAUCUCUCCCCUCCCCGUGUACAGUACGGUCGAGUUGGAUUUAGUCCAUCCAGACAAUUAAAAAUAAAUAUAUCCCCUAUAUAUCAAAA